rnacentral:lncRNA from 1 species
AUUAGACUGAGCUGAAGAAAGAAGUUAAAUGCUCUGAAUAUAUGACCUUUCCUCCAAAUCUGGAACUUUAAAUAUGAUGCUAAUAAGGCAGGCACAGAGUAAAUCAGUGAACCAGAGCUUUAAAUUAAAAUAAAAAUUCUACUGCUACUACAAUUUCAAAAAUGGAAUUACAAAUGCUAUAUCCUCCUAGGAACAUAAGGCACUGCUGCAGAAGUAGUCUUGAGUCGGAAAUGAGAGUUAAACCCUCAUUUUCAAGAACCUUAUCUGGGUCAAGUUUUUAAAGUAGUAAGAGUGUAUACUGUUUUCCAAACUCUGAUGUCUUAGUUCAUGUUGCAACUGCAGGGCAUAUUAUUUACUAUGAGUUGGCAGGAUUACUGCUGGUAUACAUGUGGUAUUUCUUUAUUCUAUUUGUUUUUAAAUAUUUAUAUAAAUUUCCUAGCUGAUGCUAAAAAAAUAUUUUCUCAUGAACUUUUUUUUUAAACUCAUUUUUGCAGAAUUCUCUAAAAGGAAAGAAAAUAAAACAGCUUGUUUAAUGCUGUGCUUUAAACUACCCACUCACCAGGAGCUAGCCUGCCUCAUAUGGCUAGUUUGUAGGUUGCUGUACUUAUGUUUAUAGAGGACAAGCAUUAAAUGGGAACAAUUACAGGGACAAAAAAUAAGCAAGGAGAUAAUAUGCAGGGAGAACAUUCUACUAAAACCUUGCCUAUUUCAUAGUUAUGUGAAGCUUUUCUUCUUUUCAUGUAAGCUCCUUUCUUUCUCUUUCUCUCUUUCUCUCUCUCUCUCUUUUUUUUCUUUUUGAUGUUUCAUUCUGUAGAUAAUGUGGAAGCAGAGAUUUCAGGUUAUCUCUUGCAUUUUUUUUUUAAUUAGGCCAGAAGUUGCCAUGAAAAGCUCUCCUCUGCUUCCCCUUUCUAGUGGUUUUACCUACUGGAAACCUUCUUGGAACUUCUUUUAUUUUAUUGAUAUAUUUUAUUGUCAUGGCCAAUUCAAAGAAAUUAUAUCUACUUUGAGUUUUCUAUGGUUAGUUAAUGAAGAACCUGACCUUAAAUUCUGAGGGCUCUGGUCAGUCUUUUUUUUCUGUUUAAGAUUUAGUUAUAGAUGCUCUGCUUCUAGCUGGUAAAGGUAGAAUAUAUAAUUUCUACAUAAAGUCUGAAGAACAACAGUAUUUUUGAAGACCGCAAUGCAUACUUAUAUUUUCCUUGCAUGUAAAUAUUUAUACUACUCAAUUUUUUAAAAAUGAUGAAUGAUUGAGAACUUGGCAACAGGCACACUGCAAACCAAGUUCAGCUUAGCAGGCUGGAGAUGCACAGCGACGAUCGGCUAAAUGAUUCAAUCUGGUGUAAAUAAUGCCACUGAAAUGUUUUAGAGGAGUGUCAACUCUGUGCAACUUUCUGUAAAGCAUGGAGCAUCCUCUUGAAAUACCUAAGUUGCAGGAAAAUGUAAAGGAACAUUUUUUUCUUUACAAUAGAGAUUUCACAUAUUCAAAUACCCCUGCCUAUUUGUUUUCUUCCACUUCUGCCUGUUCCAAAAACAAUUAUAGUCUCAAAAAGAAAGCACAGUCUCUUAAUUAGUAUCAUUCUACAGCUGCUCCUUAAUAAAUCAACAUGAUAAAUACGUGUCUCAUCCACAUUCUAGGCUAUUUCUAAUCUAAAUGAGUCUAGACUCAGGCACCUGAUGCACUACAUAAGAACUGGAGGGCAAAUUAAUACCAUGAUGGAAGAGUAAAAUGUACUUCACUAUUUAUUAUUUAUGUUUGCUCAUUUCCUACACAAACACUUUUAAGUGCAAUAGAUAAGCAGGUUCAUAGACUCAGCAGCAGAAAUACGUCCUGAUUUCAAAUGUAGGUGGAAGCCCAGGAGCCUGGGUGAUUAGCCAAGAAGUCAAAUUUAGAUGUUUAGAACCAUUGAGCUUUUCCUAUAAAGAAACGAACUUCUGCAUUUAAAACGCAAGGGAGGAAACUAUGGCCAAACCACCAGACAGAACGCAGGCCUGAGUUAUAAUAAUUCAUAAAGACACACUUCAUGUCGGGAAGAUGCGUCAGUUCUUCACGUUUCUUCACCCUUGUGUGCCAGAGUCAUUAAGAAAAAUAAAAGGCGUCUGUUUCUACCAUUGGCACAUAGAAGUUACCAUACAACGACGCGGGGAUAGAGAGGGAAACUAGGUCCUUAGCCUUAAGGAAACCUGGUGGAAUGUUCUCUAAUAGAAACACCAGGCACACAGAUGGCAACAGUACAGACUGGAGACUGCAGCAGAAAUAGUGGGAGAGAGUGACUCAGGCUGAUUGCCUGAAGAAGGAAGCUGGGGGAGCAAAAACUUGCCACUCUACCAUGUCUCUUUGGCAUGUGGAUUAUUUCCAGCUGGAAACAACCAUGGUGCCAGAGACUCAGUGGGAACCUCCGGCCUCCCCCCUAAAUGCCUAAAGAUGUAGAUGCACGACCUGUUCCAGGAAGGGGGCUGUCACCGUAGAUGACUACAAUAGGACUAGAUGUGUGGACAGGGAGAAACCUGCAAAGUCUUUGUUAAAAUUCCUCUCUGGGCCCCAGUAUCCUUUCCUGGCCCAGCAGACAUUUGUUACUAAGCAUUCACUUUACUAUCUUCAUGCCAAUUGCCUUUGAGGUCCCCACCCCUACCCCUACCCCCCACGAAAGCCUCUUCUGUCUUUGGCUGAAGACGGUAUUUAAGGUGAGAGUUCAGGCCAUUUCGGCCAGUUAUUCAGUUUCCCUCUGUCUCUCCCAUAUACACACGUCAUUAACUUUGGUUUGAGUUUCUUUUGCUAACCUGCCUUAGACCAGACAGAAGAAGCCAGGACAGAGGAAAAUGUCACCUUCCCCAACAAACCCCAGCAGGGGCCGCUGUGUAUGAGGAGGAUUUUUCAGGGCUGGGACAUGGGCUUCAGAGGGUGAGUGGUGAGCAGUCAGUUGGCCAGACUUUACAGGGCUGGGCUGAGCACUGACCUCCAUGGUGAAGCUGUCAGAGAGUCCACUAAAGGGCUCUGAAGCCAGUCUGCUGCCUGGUACCCGAGACUCUGAGUGGCAGUGGGUGACUCCUUAGUCAGCUCUGGGUGGUCACAGACUUUAGGCCAAAUCUGUCUCUGCCACAUUCCACUCUUGUUUUUCACACACCUCUCCCCUGGCUGGACAUCACCCCCUGGUGUUUUGGUCAACAGGGCACCCGAAGUCCUCCAAACCCCCUGACCAAGGCUUGCCCACAGCAGUCCCUGAAAACUGUAUUCAUCCAUGACCUCUCAUCCCAGAGUCAAAAAGAAAACAGCACCUUGGUUUAGGAACCAGUCUCCCAGACAGGACAGCCCUACAGCACUGACUCAACUUUAGCCAUAAGAGCAACAACCAUUUUGAUCAACGUUCCAAAGGCACUUACACUGAAAUAGUGGCUACUAUUUUUAAAGCAUCACAACAACAGCCAUGAUAGGGGUGUUUUUACAAAAAUUGUCCCCACAUCCUAGACCAGAAGUAAAGGUACAGAGAACUAGCCCAAAGUGGGGCCGAGGGAGCUGGAGUCUCUGAGGCUUUGGGCCCCUUUCUGAUCCUAACUGACCCCCAGGAGGGCUGGGCCAGUGCCCAGGCCUAGGAACCACUGAGAAUGCAUCCCCCCACCUCUGCCCAUCACCCUUUGGUCAGAGAUACUUUUUUAGGGGGUUAACAAGCUCUUUAAAUACAGAAAUUCUCUCACCUUACUUCCAGAGUAUUGUAUGUAUCUUAUAUCUUAUUCUGGGUUAUUUUACUCAUUUUUUUUUGAAUUCUGAAGAUUUUUAUACAGACAUAUUUAUGUACUUAUUUAGGUAUUAGCUUCUUUAAAUGUUAUUUGAUUACUCCUUUGAAUACUCAAAGACUAUCAAAUGCCAUUUAUUGAGUAAUUAUAAUUUACUAUCUUUAAUAGGCUUUACUUGUUUAGUAAAAGUGUUUAUAUAUUUUGAGGCUACCAUUACAAACAGUUUAACUCCUCUGGAGAAUCAGGGAUGAAUGGAGCAAAAAGUCAGAGAAACCCUGGGGGUAAUAGUGGAAUCUCCCAAAAGCUCCCCUCCCCCUCCCCCACCCCUGCUUUUGGGACCUCAGAUUAUUUUUCCCACACGAUCAAAGGGUCAGUGUCUUAACUUUGCCUUUAAACAGCCUUAAAGGGCAUGGUAAUUUUUAAAAGGAGGAAAAAAGCAAUCUAAAAUAUUUUCAGCUGUGACCAUUAACCACCAAUAAACACCGUCUAACUCUGAGUCAUCCCUCUGUGUCACCAUUUCCACUCUGUGUCAUCAGCAUUGUGCACACUCCCACGUGAGACGUUUAUACCACCAUGAGCUCACACGUGGAGGAGAUGGUGCGGAGCUCUAAAGAGUGGAAUUGUAUGUUGAUGCAGAUAAAGCUUGAAAGGAGGAAAGUGAGCAUUUAAUUAGGGGGGUUGCUUGUGUAGUUUUGUCUUCGCUCUCUGAGGGUGUACCCCACUGAAAUAAAACACAGAGUUACUACAGUCCCUGCCCUUCCUCAUACUCCUGAUUUGAGGAGAAGGGCUCAGUCUGGGCACCCACACGUGCUUUUGAAUGAGCCCCUUGAUUUCAUCUACUGAUCCCUAACUUAUGCCCAUUUCCUCUGGAGAUUGCCACCCUGAGCAUGUCAUAAAUUCCUUCCUGCGUAUGCACUGUUUUGAUCAAAACUGACAUCAUUUCAGUGUAGACUGAGAGCAAGGCAGCUGUCAGGUUCUGUCUCAGACCUUCUGCUUUUUUUUUUCUUUUUUUCUUUUUUUUUUUUUAUUGUGACCCUAAUAAGGCUCUCCUGCUGGGUGCCAGCCACCUGCAAGAAGGUCAGUUCUGGGGGUGAAAUUUAUAAACAGCAGAGAUCAUAACCUCAAAUGAAAUGCAGAGGUUAGAAACCUUUCUCCAAAUGAGGGAAACAUUUAGCAGGGGACAAGGAGGAAGCAGAGUUGGAGGGAGAUCCCACCCGCUGCAAAGAGAUCUAAGAAUUAAAAGUGAUUU